GAGGGUACAGCUCAGUGGCAGAGUACAUGCUUACCAUGUACAGGGUCCUGGGAUCAAUCCCCAGUACCUCCA
rnacentral:tRNA from 1 species